rnacentral:rRNA from 1 species
UGGGGAAUAUUGGACAAUGGGCGAAAGCCUGAUCCAGCCAUGCCGCGUGAGUGAUGAAGGCCUUAGGGUUGUAAAGCUCUUUUAGCAGGGAAGAUAAUGACGGUACCUGCAGAAAAAGCCCCGGCUAACUUCGUGCCAGCAGCCGCGGUAAUACGAAGGGGGCUAGCGUUGCUCGGAAUUACUGGGCGUAAAGCGCACGUAGGCGUACUCUUAAGUCGGUGGUGAAAUCCUGGAGCUCAACUCCAGAACUGCCUUCGAUACUGGGAGUCUUGAGUUCGGGAGAGGUGAGUGGAACUGCGAGUGUAGAGGUGAAAUUCGUAGAAAUUCGCAAGAACACCAGUGCCGAAGGCGGCUCACUGGCCCGAUACUGACGCUGAGGUGCGAAAGCGUGGGGAGCAAAC